rnacentral:pre_miRNA from 11 species
GGUUGCUUCAUGGAACAAUAUCCUGGUGCUGCCUGAGUAAUCCACUUAAAGACUCCAGCAUCAGUGAUUUUGUUGCAGGCGGUG